rnacentral:rRNA from 1 species
CCUACGGGGAGCAGCAGUGGGGAAUAUUGCACAAUGGGGGAAACCCUGAUGCAGCGACGCCGCGUGAGUGAGGAAGUAUUUCGGUAUGUAAAGCUCUGUCAGCAGGGAAGAGAAAAGAAGGUACCUGAAAAAGAAGCCCCGGCUAACUACGUGCCAGCAGCAGCGGUAAUACGUAGGUGGUAAGCGUUAUCCGGAUUUACUGAGUGUAAAUGGAGCGUAGACGGAAAGGCAAGUCAGAAGUGAAAAGCCAAGGCCUAACCAUGGGACUGCUUUUGAAAAUGGCACACUAGAGUACGGUAGAGGUAAGAGGAAUUCCGAGUGUAGCGGUGAAAUGCGUAGAUAUUAGGAGGAACACCAGUGGCGAAGGCGUCUUACUGGAUCGAAACUGACGUUGAGGCACGAAAGCGUGGGGAGCAAACAGGAUUAGAUACCCCUGUAGUC